UUUCAGGUGGCAGUUGCACUGAUCUUCCCAACAUUGCCCCCUGGCUGGCAUGACUGGCAGAGCAGCAAGGAUGGCUCAUUCUCCCUAGCUGGCAGUCGCACUGAUCUUCUCAACAUUGUCCCCUGGCUGGUAUGACUGGCAGAGCAGCAAGGAUGGCUCGUUUUCCCUAGGUUACGUGAUGCUGCGCACAUAGUGAUGAUUUCAACUACCCAACGAGGCAUAGGGAUUGUCUUUUUCUUUCAGCAGUGUUGCGAGUCUUUAUUUGGGCGGUGUUGUACCUGAAUGAGUUAAUAAAUGUUACGAGUCAGAGAGACAAUAUAUGAUGUUUUCAAGAAUUUGACAAAUUAUCAUCCCAACAUCUUCAUUAUGGAGGUUGCAUGCAGAUAAUAUGUGCAUGGGUGUGAAGUUUAGUGCGAGUGAACAAUCAUAAAAAAGGUCAACUCAUUUUGUCUCGCCUUUUUUGCAGUGGAAGAAUUGUGAUGUAUUUUUUUCUUCACGAGGCAAUAAUAUUUUGAUUGUGGAGUGGGCACAAAAGUGUUGUGCCCGCGAAUCGAGCUUGGUGCAAGCCUGUGCAUAGUAAUAAAUCUUUUAGAGCAAAAAAAAAAA
rnacentral:lncRNA from 1 species